rnacentral:tRNA from 1 species
GACCCUAUCAUCUAGUGGUUAGGAUACAACCCUCUCAAGGUUGGUACACGGGUUCAAAUCCCGUUAGGGUCGCCA